rnacentral:rRNA from 1 species
ACCCGCUGAUUUAAGCAUAUCAGUAAGCGGAGGAAAAGAAACUAACAAGGAUUGCCUCAGUAGCGGCGAGCGAACUGGCAAAAGCUCAAAAUGUAAAUCUGUGGCGGUGACGUCAUAGAAUUGUAAUCUAUAGAAUCAGGCAGAAAGCAUGACAAUCGCAGAAGUCUCUGGAAAGAGAAAGCAAAGAGGGUGAUACUCCCGUAUUCGGCGAAUUGUCAGCUGUAUGCAUGGUUUCGAAGAGUCGGGUUGCUUGGUACUGCAGCUCUAAAUGGGAGAUAAACUUCUUCUAAAGCUAAAUAUUUAUGGGAAACCGAUAGCGAACAAGUACUGCGAAGGAAAGAUGAAAAGAACUUUGAAAAGAGGGUUAAAAGACUUGAAAUCGUUGAAAAGGAAGCGGUAGAAGAAAAGCAUUGCUGUGAGGUUUGUUAUGUGACAAUCGGCCUCGGGUUCGUUUAGUACUUAAUCGGCUAGCGGGCUCUUCGGUAACGGUUGCCUGUGACUUUCUCAUAGUAAAAGGCAAAAUGAGGUUUAUCUGCGAGAAUAACUAGCGAUGAAGACCCUUUUCGGAGGAGCUUCGUUAGAAAGUCGCAGAUUUACCUGAGGGUGCAUUGCGAUUUUGUCGAAAAUGCUUCUACUGACCCGUCUUGAAACACGGACCAAGGAGUCUAACACGUAUGCGAGUCUGCGGGUCCAAAAACCCAUAGGCGUAAUGAAAGUGAGUAUAAGGUGCGAAUCGCAAGACUCAGCACCGACCGACCUUGAUCUUCUGAGAAGGGUUUGCGUAAGAGCAUAUUUGUUAGGACCCGAAAGAUGGUGAACUAUGCUUGAGUAGGGUGAAGCCAGGGGAAACUCUGGUGGAGGCUCGUAGCGAUACUGACGUGCAAAUCGUUCGUCAAACUUGAGUAUAGGGGCGAUAGACUAAUCGAACCAUCUAGUAGCUGGUUCCCUCUGAAGUUUCUCUCAGGAUAGCAGGAACAAUGACGCAGUUUUAUCAGGUAAAGCGAAUGAUUAGAGGAAUUGGGGGUCAAAGACUCUCGACCUAUUCUCAAACUUUAAAUUGGUAAGAACCGGUGGUUUUCUUAACUGAACCAACGGGUAGAAUGCUUGUUCUUAGUGGGCCAUUUUUGGUAAGCAGAACUGGCGAUGAGGGAUGAACCUAACGCUGAGCUAAGGCGCCCAAAUUCUCGCUCAUCGGAUACCAUAAAAGGUGUUGAUUCAUUUAGACAGCAGGACGGUGGCCCUGGAAGUCGGAAUCCGCUAAGGAGUGUGUAACAACUCACCUGCCGAAUGAAUUAGCCCUGAAAAUGGAUGGCGCUGAAGCGAGAUGCCGAUACUCAGCCAUCGAGACAAAAUUUAAGUCUCGAUGAGUAAGAGGGCGUGAGCGCAGUGUAGAAGCCAUUGGCGUGAGCCUUGGUGGAACUGCGUUUAGUGCAGAUCUUGGUGGUAGUAGCAAAUAUUCAAAUGAGAACUUUGAAGGCCGAAGUGGAGAAGGGUUCCAUGAGAACAGCAAUUGGUCAUGGGUUAUUCGGUCCUAAGGCAUAGGGAAGCUCCUUGCAAUACAAGAGCGCUUGCUCGUUGCCGAAAGGGAAUGCGGUUAAUAUUCCGCAAACUGGACGUGGAUAUUGUGUGGUAACACAAGUGAGCUCGGAGACAUCGGCCCGCACCCCUGGAAGAGUUAUCUUUUCUUUUUAACUGACUGUCGCCCUGGAAUUGGAUUAUCCAGAGAUAGGGCUUCACGUCAGGCAGAGCACCGCACCAUAAGCAGUGUCAGGUGCGUGCGGGACGAUCCUUGAAAAUCCGAGUGAGAGUCUAUUCUCACGCCAGGCCGUACCAAUAACCGCAUCAGGUCUCCAAGGUU